UACAGAGGUCUCAAGCGUUGUUCGGAUUCAUUGGGCGUAAAGGGUGUGUAGGUGGCGCGCUAAGUCGGGUGUGAAAUUUCGGAGCUUAACUCCGAAACUGCAUUCGAUACUGGCGUGCUUGAGGACUGGAGAGGAGACUGGAAUUCAUGGUGUAGCAGUGAAAUGCGUAGAGAUCAUGAGGAAGACCAGUGGCGAAGGCGGGUCUCUGGACAGUUACCGACGCUGAGGCACGAAGGCCAGGGGAGCAAACGGG
rnacentral:rRNA from 1 species